rnacentral:rRNA from 1 species
CAGCAGCCACGGUAAUACGUAGGGUCCGAGCGUUGUCCGGAAUUAUUGGGCGUAAAGGGCUCGUGGGCGGUUUGUCGCGUCGGGAGUGAAAACCAGCAGCUUAACUGCUGGCCUGCUUUCGAUACGGGCAGACUUGAGGCAUUCAGGGGAGAACGGAAUUCCUGGUGUAGCGGUGAAAUGCGCAGAUAUCAGGAGGAACACCGGUGGCGAAGGCGGUUCUCUGGGAAUGUUCUGACGCUGAGGAGCGAAAGUGUGGGGAGCAAACAGGAUUAGAUACCCCCGUAGUCCCUGUCUCUUAUAA